AGUGGGGAGCGGGCAUCAGUGGAGAGCGUGCAUCGGUGGGGAGCAUGCAUCGGUGGGGAGCAUGCAUCAGUGGGGAGCAAGCAGAGACUCUGUCCUGCCUCAGGACCAUUCUCUAUAUCAUCUUUGAAUGGGUGUCAGUCACAAAGCAAAGAUAACAUAGAAUAAUGUCUUGUACCAUCCUCAUGAAGGACUCUGGCCACAGCUCAGCUCAUCACAGCUCCAGCGAGCCUGUGUUUGUGGAAAGAUACUGCUUCCAAUGCCAAACCUAACAAUUAUGUUUUCGAAUCCCUCAAAACUAAAAUAAGAAACCUUGGUGACAUAAAUGUUCCAAAUUCAAAAUAUCCACAGUGAACUCAUCCACUUCCUGUUUGAGCCUGCUCCUCCUUGUCUGUCUGUCUGGCUAAUGACAUCAUCACCCAGCGGGACAAAGUUCAAGCUCUAACCAUCUUUUACCGUCUUCCCACUGCCAGAUGGAGCUUUCCUAGAUGCACUGUGUGAUCCUGUCUGACAUCCAGCAUUUGGGUGCACAUGCCUCCCCUCUAUCUCCUCAUCUGAAAUAUAGUUUUAAAGUCUCCAAGCUCAAUCUCUGUUUCUGACGAUUUUUAAAUUCUUUUAGGGCAUUAGCUCCUCAAUUGUUUUUGACUCUCACGUGUCCCCCAUCUCAUCCAUCUGCCUAUUUAUUUAUUUGUGUGUGUGCAGCACAUGUGUGUGUGUGCAUGUGCACUUGUGUGUGUGUGUGCAUUUUCGUUUGUGUGUAUGUGCAUGCAUGCAUGUGUGGGUGCAUGCGUACAUGUUUGUUUGUUUGUGUGUGUGUGUGUGUGUGUGUGUGUGUGUGGUGUAAGGCCAAAGAUCAACCUUGUCUUUUGAGACAGGACCUCUCAACCUGGAGCUUGCUGAUCUGGUUAGGCUGACUAAGGAUUGGCAGUGAUCUGCCCAGCCCCAACACUGGAGCAACAGGUGUACACCAAAUGCCAGGCUCGUAAUGGGAAUUCUAGAUCAGUCUCAGGACUUCAUGUUUGUGAGGGAGCACUUUGCCAACUUAACUAUCUUCCUAACACCAGUCCUGGCCUCCAAAAAUUAUUUUACAAUCUAUAUGCAGUCAAACGUACUACAUUUGUGAGGCUGGGGAGAAGCGUCAUAUCUGUCACUUCUUAAAACUUCUUCUGUACUCACAUCCCGUCCUGCCCUGUGAGGUGAGUGCUAGUCUUCUCUCUGUGCAUCAUGCUUUCUAUUGCCCAGCGUAUCAUAAACUGCUCUCCUUGUCUUGGAAUACCUGUCCCCUGUCCAUCUGUCAUCUUAGUCUGUGACGUAGAAUAUUAUUAACACAUCUGUAUUGAACCCAUUGGGAAACAUGCAGUUUCUCCAAGCUUAACCUUUCCUAGUAGUGUGUAACCCAGCAAGAAUAUAAAAUCAAGAAGAGAAAGAAAGCCAGGUAGUGGGAACCUUUAAUCCCAGCACUUGGGAGGCAGACGCAGGUGGAUCUCUGAGUUUAAGGCCAGCCUGACCUACGGAGCAAGUUCCAGGUCAGCCCUGGAAAGAAAGUACAUAGAGAAUUCUGACAUUUUCUCAGAAGGUUGACUUUCAAGGAGGACCUUCUUAUCUGACUAUAACUGAUUAGGACACCAGAAAGGCAGUAAGUCACUCUGAGGGGGCAUGGUGACUUAGAACUGUUGUGACGAAAGAAGAUUCAGAAGUGGGUAGGAGAGACAAAGACAAGGAACGAGGUCUAUGAAAUGGGGUGACAGUGUCGAGUGUCUGUGAGCCUUCCUCAGGGACUCAGGACAAUGACUGCUGCUGGGUAGUGUGUGUGUGUUUUGAAUGAUCCUCCUUGUUGAGAAGAGUGUCUGAAAAGCCAGACCUUCGAUGGGCAUAGUGAUGUCACCCCUCUGGUCUGUCACGAGGGCACCGCGAGGUCCAUGCUGGCUCCUCGUGUGCCUAGGUGUUUGGGAACUAAGGAAAUGCUGACUUCUUGCCCUGUAUCAUAUGCCCAUCUGAAGUUCACCUCCAAACUUCCCCAACUCUUUAGGAUAUUUUCCUCUGGUAUUUUUGGUACCUUACCACCUCUAGUAGGCUCUGUUCUCUUGGCUUCCUGACCCGACUCCGCCACUAUCCCAGAAUAUCUCAUAUUUGAAAUACAUUUAACUCUCCUUCAAUUACAAUUAGCUUUUGUCAACAUUCUUUCUGCAUUUCUAAGAAGUACAACAGGUUUUACAAUUGUUUAUUUUUGUUUUUGAGACAGCCUCAGGUGGUCAGAGCUGGACUCAAACUCAUUAUGUACCUAAGGGCAAACCUGAACUUCUGUUUUUCCUGCCUCGCCUCCCACGUGCUGGGGUUACAGGGAGUUCCACUGUCUCCGCUUAUACAGUGUUGCACAAGGACUCUACCAAUUGAACUGUACCCCUAGCCCCCCAAAUAGGUUUGUAUUAUAAGAAUUCAUCUACAUCUCUAACGUCCCCCGAACAGUAUAAAAUGUGCUCAAUUCCAUGAGUGUUUGAUGAAGUGAACUUCCUAAGUAGUCAUGGCAAUGUUGAGGGCAGUGAAAGGAGCAAGGAAAGCAUUUCUCUUCCAUGGUGGUGUUCAGCCUGUAUUUACACAGAUUUCCCUUCACAGACUUACUCCCCUUGUGAGUGAAUGACCGUUACGUGAUCAAACCCCCAUGGUGAUGCUCUUAUGAAUGUGGGAUUAGAAGCCAGGCUAGACAGGCCCGGAAGUGGGGAGGACAUGGGAAAUCUGACUGUCUGCUGACACAGACAGUGAGAGGCGAGAGAGGACCCUUCCAUUUACAGGAGGGGAACAGUACCCCUCUACACCCAUCCUCCGAGUGUGUUUGCUGUCAGGUUUCAGUCACCAGUGGAAUGCUGGACCCUAAGCUCACUAAAGCUGAGUGAAGGGCACGUUUAGAGAUUUCCACACCUGCUCUAUGACACAGAAGUCCCCUCUACCCUAGCCUACAUGAAAACUCCACCACCUUUAUACAGUCAACGUGCAGUGCACAGGUCCUAAUAUGAGAGCAGACAGGCCAGUUUGUGAAACUCAAACUUGGCAUUCCAUUCUUGUGUGAGAAAUGUGCUACAGGGCUGACAUAUGUUCAAUUUGUGACCACUCUGAACAUGUCCCAUCCAGUAUCUCAGCAGUGUUUACCCAUCUUGUGUUUGCAUGUUCCCCUUCCUCAGAUUCAGAGGGCGAAGUCCCAGCUCCCUUGAAGGCCAUAUGCUCUUGGGGAGAUGUCAGGAGAAUCCCAAGGGCCGCUCCAUCCUCUGCAAGCACCAGGCCAUGGGUCAAACAGACAAAGAACCAGUUGGAACAACAUUCUCCCAGAUGUGUCUUCCCACACAUCUGGUCUCCUGAGUAAUGGUCCGUAGUGGGAGUGAGAACUCCUCAGUCCUUAUGUAGAGAUUAAGCCCACACAGCCAACUGCUUCAUGAGUUUUAUUACUCCCUUUAGAUAGAUUUCUUCCUCCAGUUCCCCAUUCCUCCCACUGCCUCACGAAAACCCACCUCCCUAUAACCCUUCUUGCAGAUGAGUGAGUAGCUGUGGUUAGACCCCAGUGGUUAGACCUCUUGCUCCCUGAAAUGCCUGGCUCUCACUUUCUGGCACCCAUCCUUGCUGGAGGGAAACCAAUGAGGGCCAGGUCAUAUGGCCCUCCAGGAAUCUCAUCUAGGGACAUAGUUACCUGCUCCUGGAGAAAGGUUAGCUUUGAGUAAAAAACCAGCAAUCCCCUCAAUAUAAUUGUUUUCAAGAUGUUCUUAUGCCUGUGUGUGUGGGUGUGUGUGUGUGUGUGUGUGUGUGUGUGUGUGUGUGUGUGAGAGAGAGAGAGAGAGAGAGAGAGAGAGAGAGAGAGAGAGAGAGAGAAGGGGGGAUACAAUGUAUACACCCAUACCUGCUCACCAGAGGGCAUUAGCAGGAGAAUAUGUUUGCAUGCAUAUGUGGAGAUCAGUGAUAGGUGUCUCCCUCCAUUGCUCUAUACAUUACUAUUAAGACAGGGCCUCUCUCUGAACUGGAGCUCACCAGCUGUCUCUGCCUCCCCAGUCUAGGAUUACCAGUGUGUGCUACCACACUUGGGUUUUGUUAUUGCCAGGGAUUAGAACUCAGGUCCUUACGCAUGUGCAGCAGUUCUCUACUAGCUGAGCAAUGUCACCUCAUGCAAUUUAAAAUAAAAUGUUCAAGCUACUCCUGGAGCCGUCAAGUUGAAAGUAGUGGUUUACAAUUAAAGUUCCAAAAUAGCGAACUGUCCCUAGUCUCCUGUUGGUCCCUGGGAAUACUUGAGUAUCGUUGCACAGUUUGUAGCAGCCGUAUGGGGUACAUGUCCCAGGCCUUGCACUGACGUAUAUGACUAUGGCUCAGAGCAUACCCAGCGAAAGGCCUUCUUAUUGGGACUCUCAGGAAACCUCUUCAAAUUUGAUGCACCUCUGACCCUGGAGGUCUUCAUGCAUUGGUUCCCCCUAAAGGGAGGCAGGCCAUAUAUGCUCUAAUUCAGUCCUGUUUCCUUCCUCUGUCUCAAAGGGUCUCCAUUAACCCCACCAAAACCAUAGUUAUAAAUCCCCACAACUAGAAGAGUUUAAUCAGGAUAUGCAGAGAGAGGGGGAGUCAGAAAUUGCUAUUAUUAAAGUUCCACAGAGGCUCUCUUGGCCAUGGGUACUGAUAUCACGUCCGCUGGAGCAGACAGGGGCACACUGUUACCCUCGCAUUUUCCCACCGUCAUUAGGCUGCCAAUGCUGGGUGCUAUUUAUCCGGAAAAGAAAGACUUCUUAGCUGGUACUUAGACUGAGGUCAGAUUUUCCUUUGGAACAGGAAGCAGAUGCCAAGUUUAUUUCAAAAGUAUUCUUGGUCUACCUAAGACUAGAGGGUAUGAAGAAUCCUCUGAGGGUAACGUUCUCACAAUGUAACAAGUCUUUGCUUCUUCCAAACCCUGGGUUUUAAUCUAUUCUCCUUAGGCUGUGUGUGUGUGUGUGUGUGUGUGUGUGUGUGUGUGUGUGUGUGUGUGUGUGCAUGUGUGUGCUUCUCAAGUUGACAGAAACUAGAGAUACCUGGGAAUGAGCUUCAACUAAGAAACUGUGUCUAUUGCAUUGGCCUGUGGCAUGUCUGUGGAGUGUUUUCAUGGUUAAUGACUAAAGUAGGCAGUGCCACCCCUGGACAGACAAACCUGGACUGGGUAAGAAAGCAGACUGUCCAAGCCAGUAAGCACCAUUCCUCCAUGGUUUCUUCUUCAGUUCCUGCCUUCAGUUUCCUGCCUUGAGUCUCUUCUCUGAUGCCCCUCAGUGAUGGGAUGUUACCUAAAAGUAAGAUAGAACAAAUCCUCUCCUUCCUAUGCUUAUUUUAGUCACCGUUUUUGUUGUUGUUGUUUGUUUGUUUUGUUUUACUACAGUGGAAAGCAAAUUAGAACAUAUCCCAUUAUGUAAAGGUGCCUGCCUGCGACUUAUUGGGAAUAUAUCUAAAUGUACAAUUCUGAGGUCAUCUAUGGAAAGGGAUUUAGGCAGUUUUCACACCAUGGGACAAAGGAAUUUGGAAAUAGGUUGGGUCUCCUUAAGCUGCAUGCAAUGUACUGUGUCUGUGGGAGCAGAGACUUCCCUGGUGACUGAGAACUGAUUAUUUGUUUAGAACUUGAGAAGAGGAAAGCAGCUACAACAGCUUUGUGCUCAGUGAACCAUGUAGACAUUUUAGGUUGGGAAAUAAGCAGCUAGAUUUUAGGUGGUUUAUUUUAUUGUCAGAAUGAUAGAGUUUCACAGUCAGGAGAGAGUUUAUCUCCCAGACAGGAAAAGGUUAAGUGUCUGUCAAGGAAGAUUAAAAACUCAGAUCAGAAAGAUCCAUUUGAUAGCUAAUGACCAAAGACCCUUAGAGGUGACACGGAGUAGCGCUCCAAUGAGGGACAGGCUUUCAGUGCUGAACUGAUGACAUUUGUCCUGUUAUCCAGUCCCCUCCCUAUCAUGAUUAUUAUUGUUCCUAGUGGGACUGUGCUCCUGCUCCUAAUUAGCCAAAAGGCAAGACGAAAAAAUAUUAGUUGAAUUUAAAACUAGAAAAGGAGAGAGGAAAUACGUCUUGAAAGUUUCAUUAAUUGCAAAAUGAUGCUAAAUGGAACAUUCAAUAAAAAUACUUCUCAGAACCAAGUUGUUCUGAGAAAGGGGCCACUAAAGGCGAGUUCUCGAAAACUGAGGAAAUCAGGGAACAAAACCCAAAUGCCUGGGAAUUGGGUUUCAGAGGAUGUUUUGAAUGUCCCCGCUUAGCAAUUUACAAAAUAAGACAAUCACUGAGCAUUCUAAAAAUCUGACCCAUUGACAUGGGACAAUAAGCUCAGUUUUCCAUGAACCACACAUAUUCAACUUGUCUGUUGUUACACUUUUCAGUGCCAUUUAUUAUGACGGUAUUUUUGGUAACUGUGGGCCUAGGUUUUUGACAAGGAUCCAGUGGCCUUCACAGGAAUGGCUAGCAGGCUAUGGGAGAGCCACAAUGCUGACAACUGCUUCCAGGAAGGAAAGCUUCAUAAUGGCAUUGGAAACAUUGUUUACACAAACAUUAAAGCCAACCUUGAAGAUAAGAUUUCUGUCCCAUUGAUCUGAUUUAAAAAUUGGACUUCCACUCAGCAGGUUAAAAAAAGAAAAAAUAAACAAAAUCAGCUUUCAUUACUUAAACUGAGAGCUAAAGUUAGUAUGUGGACAGAAGUCUAUUGCCUAUAAGUAAACAUAUUUGAACAUGUACAGAAAUUCCAAUAAGAGUAACUUUUUAUCCUUUCGUAAACAAAAUAAGUAAUUACUAGUUGCAACUCAUGCAUUGAAAUUGCUGUUGAGAAAAAAAUCUGAAAUAGCACUCAGGCAUAAUCAAGGGGUGACCUGCAGUUUAACAUCCUUAAUAUAUAGGUCAAGAACUUCAGGUAACAGACCUGUCCAAAAUGAGUGACUGAGUCAGGUGAUCUCAAUGUCUGUCUAAUGAGUCAUAGUCUCUACCUGAUCAACAUGAAGCUUACCUUCCUCUAUGGGGCUAAGGACUACUGUCAAAUAGAACACCUACAAGUGUGAUAAUAUUGGUUACUACUGUGGGCUACUUACAGAUAAUUUACUGCACAGCAUUACAUUGUAUGUGCUUUCUGAAAGAUAAAAUAACAAGUGGGAAUUAUUCAUGAACUACCAGACAACACGAUGAUAACAAAAAUAUCGAUAAUAAUUAAAUCAUCAACAGCCAAACAAAUCAUCAGUCGACAGUGUACACGUCAUUUCUUCUGCAUUCUAAACAUGUUAUUUUAAUUCUUUUCCUAUGUGGAGGUAUCUUAAAAUAACAUUACUCGCAUCUUUAAAGUAUUUUAAAAUUGUGCUAAAAUGUGACAUACAUUGUAUGCAUUUUUGACUCUCAGGGUUGCAUAAUCCAGUUUCAAAUUGGUUUUCAUCUUCUCAGAGAAUCUUUCAUAGGAGGAGCUCAGAACCUUUUAGAUGACCCAACCCAGAGUUCCUGUUCCUUCUAUCCCUGCCUUUAGCUGUACUCUAUGAAUCUGUCUAGUCCUAGUGACCCACAGAAGCAAAGUCACACUUAUGAAUGUCUUCAAGGCUCAUCCCUGUUGUGCCAUGUGUCAAAAUUUCCUUCUUAAAGCCAAACAUUGUCGCCUUGUGUGUGUAUAGCUGAUUGUCAGUCAUUCACCCGGGUCGCUUUAGAUUUUUAGUUAUUGUAAGCACAGCUUUGAGGAGGUGCUCAGAAUCUGAUCGAGUGCCCAUACUCAGUUCUUUAGAUUUUGUACCCAGAAGUGAAUCUUCUGGACCAUGGGGUGAUGCUCUUUGUAAGCCUUUGAGGAACAACCAUGCCGUUUUCCACACCAGCCUCCCCACUCUCUAUUCCCAACAGCUCGGAAGAGAUUCAGCCUCUCUGCUGUCUUACCAACACUUGUUAACCUUUGUUUGGUUUUUUUAAUUUAGUUUUUUUUCAUUGUUGUUGUUUGGGAAAACAAAUAAUACAUUUAUUUGAAAACAGUUAAUAAAUAAUUUUUAUCAUUUAUUAAUGAUAAAAAGCAAAUUUGCAUACUAAUGAUGUGGAUGUGGUUUUUUUUUAUUUUUUUUCAGUUCAUACAUUGCCCCUUCUGGGUUCCUCCCAUUCCUCAUCCCAUUCCUCCUUUUCCCUGCUCCAAGAGGAUGUCCCCAUCCCCAUUCCCACUCCUGCCAGGUCUCCACACUCCCUGGGGCCUUAAAGUGUCUUGAGGGUUGAGCAAGUCUUCUUCCACUGAGGCCAGACCACACAGUCCUCUGCUGGAUAUGAUUUGGGGGCCUUGGACCAGCAGCUGUGGGUGCUGCCUGAUUGAGGGCUCAGUGCCUGAGAGAUCUCAGGGGUACAGGUUAGUUGAGACUGCUGGUCUUCCUAACUUCUCAAUUUCUUCCAGCCUUUCCCUAACUCAACCACAGGGGCCACCAUCUUCAGCCCAUUGGUUGUGUGUAACUAUCUGCUUCUGUAUCAGUCAGCUGCUUGUUGGGCCUCUCGAAGGACAGCCAUGCUAGGUUCCUGUCUGUAAGCACACCGUAGCAUCAGUAAUAAUGUCAGGCCUUAAAGCCUCCCCUUGAGAUGGAUCCAGGUUGUGUCGGUUACUGGACCACCUUUCCCUCAGUAUCUAUUCCAUUUUUUUUUUGUCCCAGAAAUUCUUUUAGACAGGAAGAAUUCUGGGUCAGAAGUUUUGACUGUGGGAUGGCAACCCCAUUCCUCCACUUGAUGUCACUCUAUUGGAGGUAGAUUCUAGGAGUUCCCUCUCCCCACUGUUGGGCAUUUCAUCUAAGGUCCCUCCCUUUGAGUCCUAAGAGUCUCUCACCUCCCAAGUCUCUGGUACUUUCUAGAACGUACCCACCCCCAACCCUACCCCACCCCCAGCCUCCAGCACCCCCCUCCCCAGGUUGCAUAUUUCCAUUCAUUCUGCUGGCCCUCAGGACUUCUCUCCUGUCUCCUUCCCCCUUUCCCCUCUCCACCCACAUCCCUCCCUCCCUCCCUCUGCCUCCUAUGAUUAUUCUCUUCUCCCUCCCAAGUGGGACUGAAAUCUCCUCACUUGGGCCCUGCUUGAGUUCUGUAGAUUGUUUCCUACUGUACUUUUUUGGCUGGUGUCUACUUAUUAGUGAGUACACACUGUGCAUGAUGUCCCUUUGGGUCUGAGUUACCUCACUUAGGAUGACAUUUUCUAGUUUCAUCCAUUUGUGGGUAAAACUCAUGACGCCCCCAUUCUUUUUUUUUAAUUUUGUAAUUCUAUUUAUGCAUAGAAGACAGCAUACAUUUAACCCAGUUUAGUGAAGAGUUCUUUAGAUUUUGCCUUUUCCAGCUUAGCAAUGUGAGCCACAGACUUAGGACCUAGAACAUUGCCUCCCCAGUGGUGGUGGAUCUCGUCAUACUGUCAUUAUAAUUGGUCCUAAUAGCUUCCACCAGCUUAGCCAGAGCACCUUGUCUUUCGAGUUAACCUGUGUGAAGGCAAUAGUGGUUCGUGUCUUCCUGUGGACCAGGCGCCCCAGCCUGGCCUUUCCCUUGAUGAUGCAGUAGGGCACCCCCAUCUUUUGACACAGGGCAGACAGGAAAGUCACCAGCUCAAUGGGGUCUACAUCAUGGGCAAUCACCACCAGCUGAGUCUUCUCGUUCUCCACCAAGGUGGUAGUGACUGUAUUGACCCCUGCUCAGAGAACAGAUGUUCUCUUAGCUGGAACGUCCCCUUUGUCAGCAGCUUUCUUCUCAGCCAGGCCAGUAGCCUUUGCUUCUUCUCCUGCUUUGUUUUUGGCUUGUACUUGUGGGCGAACCUAAGCCACUGAUUCUCUGUUUGCCUGACCAGGGCCCGGGUCAACUGAUUAAUGGCAGGAGGUACCACUUAUAGAGGCUGGCGCUUUGCGGCUGCAGCAUGAUGUAGCCGGGCCAUUUGACGAAGUGUGUUCGAUCUCUUUUGGGCUGGAUGUCCUGCCCAAUGCUGAAGUUCUUGGGCCUUUUCUCAAACAAAGGAUUAGCCACCUUUUUGGCCUCCUGUUUCCUGAUGAUGGUGGGAUCCGGGGCCACCUUCUUCCCCCUAGCCUUCUUUUCUUUGGGUAUCUUGCUCAAAUGAAGGAGAGAGAAAGAAAAGGGAAUUGUGGGUGAUAAGUAAGCGGCCAAGGAGAUCAUGAGAGCCAUUCUAAUUCUUGAUAGCUGAGUAGUAUUCCACUGUGUAAAUGUACCACAUUUUCUGUAUCCAUUCUUUGUUUGUGGGACAUCUGGGUUGUUUUUAGCCUACAAAUAAGGCCGCUAUGAACAUAGUGGAAUACAUGUCCCUGUGGCACAGCGGGGCCUACGUUGGGUAUAUCCCUAAGAGUGGGAUAGCUGGGUCUUCAGGUAGAUCUAUUUCCUAUUUUCUGAGGAACCGCCAGAUUGAUAUCCAGAGUGAUUGAACCAAUUUGUAAUCCCACCAACAAUGGAGGAGUGUUCCUGUUUCUCCACAUACUUGCCAAUAUGUGCUGUCACCUGAGUUUUUGAUCUUAGCCAUUUUGAUUGGUGUGAGGUGGAAUCUCAUGGUUGUUUUGAUUUGCAUUUCUCUGAGUAAGGACUUUUAACAUUACUUUAAGUGCUUCUCAGUCAUUCCAGAUUCCUCUGCUGUGAAUUCUCCGUUUAGCUUUAUAACCCAUAUUUUGAUUGGGUUGUUUGUUUUUUGGAGGUUAGCUUCUUGAGUUCUUUAUAUGAUUGCUUUGUAAUAGAGCUUGAGAUCAGGGAUGGUGAUUCCCCCAGUCGUUCUUUUAUUGUUAAGAAUUGUUUUUUUUCUAUCCUGGCCUUUUUUUUCAUAUGAAAUUGAGAAUUGCUCUUACCAUGUCUGUGAAGAAUUAUAUUGUAAUUUUGAUGGGGAUUGCAUUAAAUCUGUAGGUUGCUUUUGAUAGGAUGGCCAGUUUUACUAUGUUAAUCCUACCAAUCCAUGAGAAUGGGAGAUUUCUCAAUUUUCUGGAGUCUUAAAUUUCUUUCUUGAUAGACUUGAAAUUUUUGUCAUUCAGGACUUUCACUAUUUUGGUUAGAGUUACACCAAGAUAUUUUAUAUUAUUUGUGACUAUUGUGAAGGGCCACAAUUUUCUUUUUCAGUCCAUUUUUCAUUUGUAUAAAAGAAGGCUAGUGAUUUGUUUGAGUUAAUUUUAUAUCCAGCCACUUUGCUGAAGUUAUUUAUCAGCUAUAUAAGUUCUCUGGUAGAAUUUUUGGGGUGACUUAAGUAUACUAUCAUAUAAUAUGCAAAUAGUGAUACUUUGACUCCUUUGCCAAUUUGUAUCCCCUUGAUCUCCUUCUGUUGUCUAAUUGCUCCAGCUAGAACUUCGAGUGCUAUAUUGAAUAGAUACCAGGAGAGUAGGCAGCCUUGUCUUUCUUGUCCCUGAUUUUAGUGGGAUUGAUUCAAGUAUCUCUCCAUUUAAUUUGAUAUUAGCUGUUGGUUUGCUGUCUAUUACUUUUAUUAUGUUUAGGUAUGGGCCUUGAAUUCCUGAUCUCUCCAAUACUUUUAACAUGAAGGGGUGUUGUAUUUUGUCAAAUGCUUUUUAAACAUCUAAUUAGAAAAUCAUGUUAUUUUUUUCCUGAGUUUGUUUAUAUAGUGGAUUAUGUUAAUGGAUUUUCCUGUAUUGAACCAGUGUUGCAUCCCUGGGAUGAAGCCUACUUGAUUGUGUUGAAUGAUGUUUUUGAUGUGUUCUUGGAUUCAGUUUGCAAGAAUUUUAUAGAUUAUUUUUGCAUUGAUACUCAUAAGUGAAAUUGGUCUGAGGAUCUCUUUGUUUGUUGGGUCUUCAUAUAACUUAUCUAUCAGAGUUACUGUGGCUUCACAGAAUGAACUUGGUAGAGUUCCUUCUGUUUCUAUUUUUUAAAAUAGUCUAAGGAGUAUUGGUAUUAGCUCUUUGAAGGUCUGGUAGAAUUUGGAGCUAAAGCCAUUUGGCCCUGGGUUUUUUUUGGUUUGGAGGUUUUUAAUGACUUCUUCCAUUUCCUUAGGGGAUAUAGGACUGUUUAGAUAGUUUACCUGCUCUUGAUUUAACUUUGGUAUGUGGUAUCUUUCUAGAAAGUUACUCAUUUCAUCCAGAUUUUCCAGUUUUGUCGAAUAUAGGCUUUUUUAGUAGGAUCUGGUGAUUUUUUUUAAAAUUUCCUUGGUUUCUGUUAUUAUGUCUCCCUUUUCAUUUCUGCCCUUGUUAGUUUGGAUAAUAUCUCCCUGUCCUUUAGUUAGUUUGGCUAAGGUUUUAUCUCUCUUGGUGAUUCUCUUAAAGAACCAGCGUUUGGUUUUGUUGAUAGUUUGUAUCAUUCUCUUUGUUUCUAUUUGGUUGAUUUCCUCCCUGAGUUUGAGUAUUUCCUACCUUCUACUCCUCUUGGAUGUGUUUGCUUCUUUUUGUUCUAGGUCUUUCAGUUGUAAGAUCUUUCCAGUUUCUUUAUGAGAGCUCUUAGUGCUAUGAAUUUUCCUCUUAACACUGCUUUCAUUGUGUCUCAUAAGUUUGUGUAUGCUAUGUCAUCAUUUUUCAUUGAAUUCUAGGAAGCCAUUAAUACUUUUUAAAGUCUUAUUUAUUACAUAUGAGUACACUAUAACUGCCUUCAGACACACCAGAAGAGGACAUCAGAUCCCAUUACAGAUGGCUGUGAGCUACCAUGUGGUUGCUGGGAAUUGAACUCAGGACCUCUGGAAGAGCAGUCACUACUCUUAACCACUGAGCCAUCUCUCCAGCCCUAAUUUCUUUAUUUCUUCCCUGACCUGAGUAGAGAGUUGUUCAGGUUCCAUGGACAUGUGCAUUUUCUGUUGUUUUUGCUCUUAUUGAAUCUAGUCUUAGUCUGUGGUCAUCUGAUAGGAUGCAUGGGAUUAUUUCAAUAAUUGUAUCUGUUGAUACUUGUUUUGUGACCAAUUAUAUGGUUGAUUUUGGAGAAGGUACCAUGAGAUGCUGAGAAGAAGGUAUAUUCUUUUGUUUUAGGAUGAAAUGUUCUGUAUAUACCUGUUAAAUCCAAUUUGGUUCAUAACUUCUAUUAGUUUCACUGUAUCUGUAUUUAGUUUCUGUUUCAAUGACCUGUCCAUUGGUGAGAGUGGAGUGUUAAAGUCUCUCAUUAUUAUUACUAUAUGAGAUUCAAUGUGUGCUUUGAACUUUAGUAAAGUUUCUUUUAUGAAUGUGGGUUCCCUUUUAUUUGGAACAUAGAUGUUUAGGAUUAAGCCUUUCUCUUGUUAGAGUCUUUCUUUGAUGAAUAGGAAGUAUCCUUCUUCGUCUCACUUGAUAACCUUUGGAUGAGUCUAUUUUAUUGGAUAUUAUGAUGGCAACUCCACCUUGUUUCUUGGGACCAUUUACUUGGAAGUCGUUUGUCCAGCCUUUUACUCUAAGGUAGUUCUGUCUUUGUCAUUGAGGUUUCUCAUAUGCAGCAAAAUGCUGGAUCCUGCUUGCAUAUCCAGUCUGUUAGCUUGUGUCUUUUUAUUGGGGAAUUGAGUCUAUUGAUAUUGAGAGAUAUUAAAGACAGAUGAUUAUUAUUCCCUGUUAUGUUUGUUGUUGUAGAUUGUAUUAUGUGUAUGUGGUUCUCUCCUUUUGGUUUUGUUGUGAGACUUCCUUGGUUUUUUUGUUUGUUUAGAUACUCCCCUUAUGUUGGAGUUUUCCUUCUAGAAUCCUCUGUAGAGCUGGAUUGGUAGAUAGAUAUUGUUUAAAUUUGGUUUUGUCAUGGAAGAUUUUGUUUUCUCCACUUAUUAUGAUUGAAGUUCUGAAUGACCUAAAUAGUAGUGCUUAUGAGUUAACCUUAUAUGAAUGAAAUUAGUAUUUGUAUUUUGUAUGUUUGUAUUCUUUUGUUCACAGUUUAAGUUUCUGAGUAGUGGUAGGGCUGAAUUUUUCCAUUUCUUUCUUGACUUCUGUUGUGAAACCCUGUCUAAUAUGUGGCUCUGUCUGUUAUUCUACCUACCAUGUAUAAUGCUUCUGGGAACAUUAUUGUUGCUGUCCUUUGGUGCUUAAUGUAUAUAUUUCUGUUGGGUGCCUGUUAAGAGAGAAGUUAUUCUAAAUAUAUUACCAAACAAUUUUCCAAAAUUGUUUUAUCCAUUUUCAUUCCCACCAGCACAUGUGAGUUUGUAGGGGUUUUAUAUAUAUAUAUUUCAGAUUUAGAAUUAUUAUUUUCUUUCAUUUUAGCCAUUCUGGUGAGUUUAUUGUGGGGUGAAUUUAGUUUUCCUUGACCCCUAAUUACCAGACUGACCACCUUUUUAUGUUUAUUGGUUAUUCUCUUUUAUGACAUGUCUAUUAACAUCUCUUUUAUGGUUUUUGAUAGUUGUUUCUUGAAAGACUUGUAGGAGUUCUUUAUGGUUUUUUUUUAUCUAUAAGAGCUUUAUGAAUCCUGUGUGUUGCAAACAUCUUUUCCCUGUCUGCAUCUUGCCUUUGUUACCCUUUUGGGAGGAACCUUUUGAUGAAAAAGAUUUAAUUUGAAUGGAAUCUGAUUUAUCACCAUCUCAUUUAAGCCUUGUCUCUUGUUUCCUAUGCUAAAACCAUGAUGACUUUUCCCCUGUGUUAACUCCCGAAAGUUGUAGCAUUUGCCUGUCAUGUUUAUAUUCAUAAAUGUUCUUGCAGUUGGUUUAAGUGAAUGUUUGAACUAGGAUAAGGUCAUGUUUUCCUUUUUUUAUAUACAAAUAUUUCCAUAUACGAAUGUUCCAUUCACUCAGCAACAUCUCUUUGGGGGAAAUAUCUUUUUCUAAUGUCUGACAUUUGAUUUAAAAGAAAUCAAUCCUCUAUUUUCUAAAUCUGUAUGUGUCACAAUGACACCCUGUAUACCAGCUUUAUAACAAGCCUUGGUAUUAUUGAAGAAAAAGCUGCUUAUGAUGUGUACUAAACAUGUCAGGGAAGACUUUGUUCAGCAGGAGACCACUGUCUGUAAUUGGUACAGGGGCAUCCGCAAUGGAAUCUUGCAAUGGGGAACAGAACAUAAGUGGGUUCUGUCUGACCCCAAGAAUAAAUGGUAAUUUAUAUCCAGGGAGCAGGGGAGGGUCAGUGGGCCAAAAAAUAAAUAAGAGAUAUCAGAUCUCUUGUUAGAUCUACUCAAGAGAAUACUGGUGAAGGCAGGCCAAGAUGCUAAGAUAAUGAAAACAAAGGGUACAGAUAAUAAAAGUGGAAGGUUUUGACUAAGUUGAUGUAGUGGAAUUCUGACUUGAACUAGGUUCUCUAGGAUGGAGAACUAAGUGAAAGCCCAGAACUAUGCAGAAAGAGGACUCAGAGAAGUGUGAUUCCAUUGUGAUCAAUAGAGAACAUCUUUGUUAAUGUAGACUAAGUCCUACACUACAUUUUCCAUUCCAACAUGUCUUAGCUGUACUUGGCCUUCUGGGUUUCCAUGCCACUUUUAGAGUUAGUUUAUGAAAACUGACAGAAAAGUACUCCUUGAGAUUUGGAUUUAAAUAGCAUUUCUUCCUCAUGAUUUGUACAUAAAAUUCAUUUUUGGAAAAGCAGGAAGGACAAUUACAUAAUAAUAAAAAAUAAAAAGAAUAAGGAAAGACACAGUUUUGCCAUCAGCUGCCAUUAUUCAGUGACUUCUAAAUAUGUGUGGUCCUGGCGGAACAUGCCAUUGCUGAAGCUGGCUUUUUUCCUAAGCCACUGCCACUUCAAGAUUCAAACCAUUGCCUUUGUGACUGAGACAGAGAGGGCAAGGAGGGUAAAGCUAGACCAGAACCAGGACACUGAUGAGUCAGGUUUCAAUUUACCCUCUGCCCUUCAUGAGUCUCUUUGAUCUAAACUGCUCUGCUAAGUGAAAAAGGAAGAAGUAAGGAAAGGCAGAGUGUGCAGAUGAAAAGGCAGGCUGUGAGCAGAGGGGAAGACAGCCUGUGAGUGAAGGAAGCCCAUUCUGCUACAGGCAUUACUGGGAGAAGGUCGAGGAGCUACUGUUUCCAGGGAAGCUGAGCCCUUUUGAAGGACCAAAUAGUAGCUGUGUUUGCUUGUUUGUACCUUGGUUCAUCACUACAUGCUGGUAAGCGCCUUUCUGUGUAACACUCUGUCCUGGUGUCAGGAAAGUAGACAGAUCAAGUCUUUAGUCUUAUGGGGCAUAAUUCUAGUCCUAAAGUCAAUAACUACUCCAAGAUAGCAUUGGGUUAUGUGCAUUUUACAUACGAAAAAGGGUUAAGAUGUGCAAGGAAGGAAACCCGUGGGUGUCUGGGAGACAGAGGGCAUGUGGGAGGUCUCAGAGCAGGAGGUGGUGCAGUGGAAGGAGGACCAGAGGUUGUCUGGAUCACCCAUUAAAGUGCCUCUCAAUGGUAGGGCACCAUGGUGUCCUCUGUUCCCCACAUCUGUCACAAGACAGAUGUUAGUUGUCAAGUCAAGCAAGUUUCAACCACCAUCUCCCCGACCUCAGGACAUACUCCCAAUCUGUUUUGACUCCCCUUCCUGUAAUAAAUGACAGAUGUAUGCAGAGUGACUAAAAGCAGUUUCACAGUUAAACUUCACACCCUGGGUAUUUUGCCAAGCAGCCUCCCCUCUGGAAACACAGCCCCCUUCCAACAUCCUGGAAACCCUGUUGGAUCUGCUGCCAUCUGCUCCAGGCUUUGCUUGGGCCUGCAGGGCCAUUAGGGCAGAAGUAUUUCUUGUAACUGGAAUCUUAUGCUCAGCCUUCCAGACAUUGACAGAUAAUUGGAUGAAUUCUAAGCUGGAAACUGCAAACAGUAAACAGAAAACUGCACGUAAUGCAGAACGCAUGCCGCUCCCAGCCAGGCAGCGCGAGACUACCUGAGCACAUCCUAGAGUUUUUGGCAACUGGUGAAGCUCAUUGUCAAAAGAGGCUUCAGAAAAGGGCCAAGGCCGGAUGUGUGUUGAUAUGCAAAAGUGGGGUGCAGAUUCCAAGCGUGGCCACUGAUAGGUGUAGGGGUGUCAAGAGCAGUCGCAGGGCGCUGCUUAGGUUGCCAUGACUGACUGCAGAUGUGCUGGAGCGAAGGGUUCCAGUCACAAUCACGAUUUUACAGUCACUCGUCCUUUAACAUGGCCUCAGUAGCUUCCUGGUCUUCAGCCUUCUCAUAUCACACACAUACUUAUACUUGGUAAGAUGAUGGGUUUGUUUAAUCAGUUUAACUAAGUCCUUCUAUGCUGUAGCGGUAGACUGGAGCAUCCUCUUUACCCUAUAAAGAGACACAAUUGCUUGACAUCUAAGAUAUACAAAUAAAGUUAAAACAGCCUAUUAUUUUUAAGAAAGAACCACGAAUGUCUCUCUGUUCUCUAAGAAUGAACUACAUGGGCGACUACAAAAUCCCUGUCCACGUGACCCUACUGCUUCUCAGCUGCCAGCUACCUGAACAGUCUGCGGUGGGCUCUUUGUCACUUUAGACCCGAGUUCUCUUAGCUGUGAAGAGAGAGUUGACUAAGGCGACUGUGUGGUUCCUUAUGGCUCUGAGUGUCUGGUUUGUGUCCAAGACUGUGGUGACUCUGACAUCUGGAGGACCUGAGUCCUUCAGCACCCACAUGGCAGUUCACAACCACCUGCAACUCCAGUUCCAGAUGAUGGCGCCCUCUUCCGGCCUGCAUGGGCAUCAGACAUGCGCAUGGCGUACAGACACAUAUGUAGGCAAAAUACUCGUGCGUGGUGGUUUGAAUGAGAGUAGUCCCCAUAGGUCCCUAUGAUCUUUGUUCUGUUUCAUCAUCUCUUUAGUUCCCUGGCCCUCCUUACGUCCCAUCUCUGGAAGGACAGCUUAAGCUGCAAUUGUUCAGGUCUUACACAAUAUGUUACCAGAAUAGUUACAAGUUACAAAAUGUUACAAGAAUAGUUGUUAUUCUUUGUCUGAUUUAUUUCACUUACUAUUUCCUUCUUAAAAGUCAAGUGAAACUCUGGUGUGUGUGUGUGUGUGUGUGUGUGUGUGUGUGUGUGUGUGUGUGUGCGCGCGCGCGCACGCAUAGCAUGUAUACAUCCUGUAUGCACACACCAUGUUUCGUUAUCCUUCUAUGCAUGUAACAUGGAUAAUUCAGUGCCUUAGCUAUGAUGAAAAGUACUGGAAUGAACAUAGGAAUGCAAAGACUUCUUUGACAGAUGGAUUUUAGUUGUGUUGAAUAUAUGCUAAGGAGAGAACAUGCUGGGUCACAUAGAAAUUAGGUUGUUGAGAAACCUACAUUUUAUUUUCCAUCAUGGCCAUCCGAUAUAUAUUUUUUGUCACAGCAUGAAGCCGUUUCUUGUCCACUGCACUCUCACUUGUAAGCAGUUAAACAGGAUCCCUCUAACAUGUUUGCCACGUCACGUCACUGAACUUUUAAAUCUGAUGUCCCUGAUGAUUAUAGACGCUGAGAAUUACUGCUAUGUAUCUGUUGGCCAUUUGUAUCUCUUCCUUUAAGAAAUGUGCAUUUAGAUCUUUUGGAUGUUUGUAAAAGUUGAGUUUUUUGGGUGUUUGUUUGUUUGUUUUGUUAUUGAAUUAUUUGGGUUCCUGGUAUAUUUUGAAUAGCAGUUCCUUGUUAGGUACAUGAUUUUCAAAUAUUUAUCAUGGUCAAUUUAUGUUUGCUUUUGACCUUCGCAUCCCAGCUGGAGAGCAUAAAUUUUAGCUGAUGACUUUAUUUUCUUGAUGUGUUUGUAAAAUGAAUCUUUUAAAGGGGUCAGGGGGGAUUUUAGGGGGAGCAAGACUCUAUUCAAGAAGGCCUUGGAACUUCUCAGUCAGCUGACACAGGCAAGACCCAAGCUUUGUAUCUGAAAAAGUUUGCAUGAUGUAAUUUCCAUGUGCUUUGGAGGAUUAGUUUUGCUAGAAAAAAAAAUCCAAGCGAAAAGCCACACAGUGAUUCUGACAUAAGCUGGCUUGUUACCUCCUAGAUCUACAUCUCUGUUUGCCUCUCCCAAGUUCCUCGCGCAUGGGAAACAGGCACGAUAGGCACUGUUACUGCACUGUCGAACUCAAGCAGUUCGAAAGCGAAGCUUUAUUUGGCUCCUGUCUUUCCUGUGCUUUUAGGCCAGGCUGUCAACAAGCCAUAAUGGAGAGAGAUGUGCAACAGAAGCGGCCUUGGAAAGAGAAAUUGAAUUUAUAGGCAGUAAGGUAGGAUAAUUAGUUUUUAUAUUUAAAAAUACCCUCCAUCCAGAAGACUCUGCCGUCUUUAGUAGAGAAUGGGAUUAAGUGUGAAUCCAGUACCUUGAAUAAUUUCAAAUAAUCAUGUGGCAACUGCUAGCUCUGUAUAAAGUAUACACAUAAAUCUGUGUGCAAAAAAUCACAGAAAAUAUACAUUCACGUGACUCAUAUGUGAAUUAAAGUGCCACUUCAAGCCCCACAAUGAAGACUGUGCUAAUCAUGUAUACUUAGAAUUCUCAGGCUUAAGGGUUAUUGAUACAGCAUAAAAAUAAUCCCAUUGGCCCAGGUCUCCUUUUUUUUUCUUUCAGUAAUUAUUUGGAGUUCAAAAAUCAAAUAAACAAAAACUUCACAGCUUCUUACGUGGACAGUAAGAACGGUAACUUGCACUUGUGUUUUGAUAAAGCUCACUCUCCAUAGAAUGUGUACUUAAAAGCCCAGUGUAGGGAUGGCAAGGGAGGAGGUCAUCAUCUUCAACCUACCUUCUCGGCCAGCCAGUAUCUCAGCCCUGAUCUCUAUCACAAUCAACAAAUCAACAGGCAGAGAGCAGACAGUGGUUUUAGACCUUCAGGGGGUUUUUGGGGGGACUAGGGUGAGGAGGCUUGCUUAACCACUCUCGGGAGUGCUUCCUGUCUGAUAUGUGCUGUCUGCCCAACCUGGGUCUGUGAGGACAGAGAGGAAGAGCAUCUGUCAGCCAUUCUGAAGUUUCCACGUCUGGAGUCAGUCACUAGGUCCUUGCCUGGGGUUCAACUAACAAAACCUCUGUCCUUUGACGAUCCUUUCAGCAGAGCAAAGCUAAGAAUGGGAUGAACCUGAGGAACGGAGCAGACAGGCUCCUCCCUCUGCUCUCUCCUUUGCCCUCGAUGGGGGAGGAUGCACAGGAAUGAACCCCCAUGCCCAUUCUGCAGAUCAUAGGACGUUUCCAUCGGCUCUCAGAUCUUGGCUGAGUUCUCUGCCUCUGCUCAUAAGUCUCUGUUUCACAAGUGAAGAAAAAGGAUCGUUGUUAAACCGUAAACCUUCAGGUCAGCUUUGGUUACAUCACGUUCCAAGAUCAUGGCCAAAACCUUUUGUUGAACUGAAACGCUAGAUUGGCUUAGUUUGAAGUCACUGAGCCAUUCAUGGCCCAAGGAUAGGAAAACUUUCUGUUGUCCAAAGGCGGUUUGUGGUGUGUGGAUGCAUUCGCUUGCAUGGAAAAAUGAGAUGGAUUUGGAGCAGCAUUUGUGUCGUGGGGCAGAACAAAGAAAACAGUGGUACCCAAAGCACCGACAACUAGAAAAAGUUACAUAGGCGCACACUUACUCACGCACUUAACAUCGCCCGUUUCAUCCAACCCCUAGAUGUUUGCAGAGUCAGAUCAAGUUUCGUUCUUGUUUACCAUGGGCUCGUUUACAUUGCUGACUGCUGGUUACCAGUGUGACUUCGUUAAUAGGACACGUGUCUCUGUCAUUCAUCGGGGAAGAGAGCGACGCUGAUAUAUGUCUUUUUAAUUGAUAUUUCUCUAAAGUGUUGUAUUUCAUUUAUAAUUAGCAUUUCCAACGAUUUGUUUCUUAAACUUAUUUAUUUAUUAUUUAUUUAUGGUAUAUGGAUGUUUUGUGCACAUGUAGCUGUGCACUGUGCAUUCCUGGUACCUAAGAAGGCAUUAGAACUGGAGUUAUAGACAGUGGUAAACUGCCACAUAGGUGUUGGAAUUAAACUUGAGUUCUCUGCAAAGGUAUCCAGUGCUUUUAACUGCUGAGCCAUCUCUCUAGCACCCCUUCUAAAGAUUUAUUAUUAUUAUAUUAUUAUUAUUAAAAGUGUGUGUGUGUGUGUGUGUGUGUGUGUGUGUUGGUAUGCACACAUGAGUGUAGCUGAUGGCAGAGACCAAAGGCAUCAGAUCUCCUGGAAUUACAGGUGGCUGUGACCCACUCGAUGUGGGUACUAGGAAGUGAACUUUGCUCCUUUGCAGGGGCCGGAGCCAACAACAUUUUUAGCCACUGAGGCAUCUCUCCAGCCAAGGUUUCUUUAUAUGUUUGUUUUAUUUUCUAUUUAUGGAUGUUUUGCCUACACCUGAGUCCGUACACUACCUGUGUGCCUGGUCCUCACGUAGGCACAAGGACGUCAGAUCCCCUGAAACUGGAGUUACUGAGACUUGUAAGCCACCAUGUGGUGCUGGAAAUUGAACAUGGUUUCCUUUGUAAGAGCAGCUAGUGCUCUUGACCACUGAGCCAUCUCUCCAGCUCCUUUGUUUACUUUAUAAGAACUCUAAGAGACAUGGAAAGAGGACAAAGCUUGUUUUUAUUCUUUAUACGUUUAACUGUAUGGCCUCAAAGAAAACCUUUCAAUGUUUAAAAUAUCAUUCUUUCAAUUUCUCAUUAAAAGGUAAUAUAUUUGAAAUACACUUGCUUAUUAGCAGACAAUUUAUCAGUUACAUUAAGUAUUUUUAAAUAAGUACUAUGUUCCUGAGUUCAAUAGGCAGAAGGUUGCAGGAUGAGUGUGGCGAUUCACACCUGUGAUCUCUGUGCUCGCAAAGCUGAGGCAGAAGGAUGGAGAGUUUGAAGAGAACUUCUUUCAGUAAAUAAAGAAUAAAACCUUCAAGAGGUUCCAAAAGACAUGUAGUGAGGUCUUUUAUCUUAAUACUGUCUACAGACAAAGAUAUAUUUUCUCAGGAUCUGUGCAAUUAGGAUAUUGUGAUAUGUACAAACACUCACACAAAUUUUACAUAUACAUACAUAUAUACAUGUAUAGAAACAUAUAUACAUGUAUCCAUAGGUAUAUACAUAUACACAUACAUAUAUAUACAUACAGAUACACACACACACAACUUUUCUUUUUGUGUAUAGGGUCUUUAAAUUCAUGUAGCGUGUGGUGCAGUUCACUGCAGCUUCUUCUUUCUUUCUAAGACAAACUGUUAGCUGUGAUUUAUUCCCACACCCUCCCUGAUUGACAUUUAGGCUCUUUUUACUUUGUGAUAGGAUGGAUGUUAGUGUCACCUUAUCUUGUAUAACUGUGGGGAAAAAAAUCCUUGAAGUAGAAUUGUUGUAGCCAAAAAUGAGUCCACCAUCGCUUUGAUUGAUUCUGUCACAUUGCCCUGGUUAGAAGGUAACAGCGCACAGCCCCACCAGCGGCACGAGCGUUCACCUACUUCUCUUAUACUCGGGGAAAAUGGUAAGUGAGGCUGGCUGUUUCAGCUCGCGAUUCAACUCGCCAUUCUCUGAUUUCCAGCCAUGCCGUAUAUAGUAAACUCUUUAAAGUAAAAGGAUGUAUUCUCAUCAUUAAAGACAAAUAUAUUUUAAAGAUUUGCUGUAUUUGCGCAUUUGUUUCACCCUCUACUUCUUCAAAACACCAGCAAAUUAUAUCUGCCUUCUAGGAAAUUCAAGAGCUAGUCUCUACACGGCUGCUUUGCUAACAGUAACUAGGCUGCAAACGUUGGGAGAGCUUGUGUGUGCUUCAUAUGAUUACUGAAACAUACUGCUGAAAUCUGAUUUCAGCUGAAGUCUUUUUUUUAAAUAAUGCAUUUCAGACUGAUUUAAUCAGGUUUUGGUUUGUAAGGGCACAGCACAUGUUAUGUUCUGAGAAACAAUAAGUCAAUUAAACACUGACAUAUGCUGCCUUCCACAAAAAGUACCCAGAAAUCACAUUGUAACUAACAUGAUAGAAAAAAGUUAGAUAAAAAUGGCUAUUUCCUGGUGACUUAUCGUUGUAUCGAGCAUUCGAUGAAAAUCCUCUGUGGCUGGUUUUGUUUUGUUUUUCUGUGUGUAUGGUGUACGCAUUUUCUUAUACACGUGCAGGCCUGGCUGAGGUUAACAUUGGGAGUUCUCCUUAGUAGCUUUCUGUCAUACUCACUGAAUCAGAGACUUUCCAUUUAGCACAGAGCUCACCCAAACCAUGGGUCGCCCUCAGCAGCUGGCUACAGGGAUCCUGCCUCCGUCUUUUGAGUGCUGUAAUCACAGGUGGAGCACCACUCUCACCUCGUACUUAUGUUGGUACUGGGCCAUACCGAAUUCCAGUCCUCACGCCUGUGAAGUGAGUGCACUGACCACUGAGCCACCUCUCCAAGCCCCUAUGUGGUUAUUUGUGUGUCAAUCUGGAUGCUAUCCUGGCCCCUGUCAGAAAUUAGCGGCAGAGGAGAUCUUAUGUGCGUUGAGUGUCUUUGUUCCUGUCCCUUGCCUAGUCUGACAGUAGUCGCAUGGGUCUCUAAGGGUGGGAACAUGCCUUGUUCAUCUCUUGGUAGACAACUUUCUGUCUCACAUGGUCACUUUCAUCAUGAAAAGCUGCGUGACCACUUACUUCAUGGCUCAACUGACAUUUCUCCUCCCCCGAGAGUCUCCAUCUACAAUUUCUUCAGGCCAUGAAUCCUGUGGGGGGAGGCGUCUUUGGCAGAUGUGAAAUUCGAAAGCUGAGAAUCUGUUGAGUUAUGACAGUGGAGGAUAAAUACACUUGUCCCUGCAACAAGUUUGUGACUGAGACAGGAAUAACAUUUCUAUUGCCAAGUUAAAAUAGUCACCAUUUUCUGAAAGGAAAUUGCCCUGUAGAUCUAAGAGUAGUUUUAAAUUUUUCAUCUAUUCCAUACAGUCAAGAAAUGCAUUAAAAUCCUCUCCUGAAACUGGACUUAAACAACUUUUGUGCCAGAAAGAGAUCUGGAGUUGACCCUGGGAGCAGUUCAUCUUGAUGUUGUAGGUGAGAAACUGAAGCAUUGUCAGGGUUGGACUCAUUGUACGAAAACUGUUCUUAAAUCCGCUUCAGAAAUCUUGCCUCCAUGUGAUUGUUCGUUUUUAAUUCUGGAAGGGAAAUCUGUGUUCUUUAAGAGUCAGGUCGAGAGUCUUCAACCGCCUCUUGGCGGUUCAUCCUGAGAGAAAAUUUGGUUUGUUGAAGAUUCUCAGGAAACCACACAGACUAAGAAACGUGCAUCCUUCUGAGUACUGUGUGCGCAGGCACAUACUACCUUCUGACUACAGUAGGCAUCGGCACUCACAACCUUCUGACAGCAGUGUGCGUAGGCACAUGCAUCCUCCGGUGUUUAGCUGCUAAGAUAGAAAUUAACCCCUUCGUAAAUAAAGUCUUCUGGUAUCUACAGAUGAUCUAAAGAUCCUGUCAUCUUCAAUGGCCUCUCCACCACCUACUCCCCCCCCCCAACUUGCCCUCCACACUAGUCAGAUAAAUAUUCUAGAAAUGCAUGCCCAGCCUUAGAGUCCUCCUGCCUAAACUUGUACCCAUAAUGGAAACCAAGGCUUGAACUUUAUCCCUACCUCUUGCUGAACCCCUAGCCCAAACAGCUACAGCCUAGCCACCUUGUGAUGUCCCUGGGGACAGGAGGGCAUGACACCCCUUGACUGCUUUAAGAACUGAUCCUGAGGAACUCCCCUUACCCUCUCUUCUUUUCCUGUUCCUACUUGGCCUUUCAGACACAGCUUCCCGACUGACUGAUCACUUAACAACCAAGUACACUUGUUCAUUCCGUGCUUUAUUUUAGGAUUCUAAAUACUGUACCCCAUUCACUCCAAAACCACAAGGAGAAGGAAGGCUCGUCAUCCCUCGUAUAUGCAUGUGGAAGCAGAAAUCUAAAGCCACACAGCCUUGAGAACCAGAAGUCACUUGAUUUUUUUUUAUUGGUUGUGGCCUAUGUACAUGUACAUGUUAUGUAUAUGUACUUAUAGAUACACAUAUACAUGCAUGCAUAUGUAUAUGUAAUUUAUUUUUGAAUAAGUGUAUAUCAUAAAAUGUAAAAGAGACAUAACAUGAGAACAUCUCCUUUGUAACUUUACACUCUAGCUAAUCCUCACUGAAAGCACGAUCUUUAUCAGUCUCCUGUGCCCCUUCCUUUGUAUGGCUGUGUACAAGCAUCUAGGAUUGUGUGUCUUUCUCUUUGCCAUGCCAUUUCCAGUUUCCACCUUUCGUUGGCUUAACAGUCUGCCUUGGGGUUUGUUCCAUGUCAAUACGCUGAGAGCUUCCUCUUCUCCUUUCAGCCUAAAUAAAAGGCCAUGAUAGUAACACACUGUAAUUUAUUUAUUAGUGCCUUUUUGCUGGAAACUUAAAUUGCUAUUCAACUUUUGAUGGUGCAAAGUUCAAACAACAUGUUUCCUUCCGACAUGAUCUUGCCCAGUUAUGCAUUUACUUCUUAAAGUAGUAGAAUUAGAAUUUGCACGCAAGGAUGUGUAUGCUUAUGGCUUUAACACAUAUUGAUAAUUCGUCCAUCGUAGGGAUGUGCAUGUUUCUUCUUCCCUGAGAAACGUCGAAGUCUGCUUCUUCCCUCAUACCCACACAGUGUCUGUAUAUGAAAACAUUUUCAUGUUCUGCUUUUCUAACGUGUUUAAAUGCAGCUCUCUUGCGACCUCAGUGUCUCACUGCAUUUCUGAAGUGUUUGGAUUCCCUUUUUGUUAGCUGAUUGUCCUUUGUACUUUGUUGGAUCCCUUUUUUUUGUUAUUGAUUUAUAGACAUUCCUUACAGAUUAAGGAAAUUUGCCUUUUGUCUGUGAUUUAUGUUCCAAAUAGUUCCCAGCUUUGUCAUUGGCCAUUUGUCUUCGUUUAUGGUGUUGUUUCUCAUGCAGAAAAUUGUUAUUUUCAUGUAAUCUGAUUUACCAGGUUUCUUCUUUUAUGGCUUCUAGGACUUGAAUCAUCACGACCCUGACCAAACUAUCAAAUACUAUCUCUACAUGCCUGUCUGUGUGAGGUUGUUUCAAGUAGAGAAUCGGCUGACGGUUGUAGCUCAGAAAACAUACUGUAGAGUCAGACUGACCCAGCUACCCUGGCUUCAUCUUGAAAUCAUUCUGUAAUCUUGGAGAAAAUGGGGCUAUCCAUUGGAAAUAGCUAUAUUCUAUGGUUGUAGGUUACAAUGGAGAUCAGAUAUGACAACCUAGGGAAAUGUCUGGUACUUACGUAUGUUACGUUCCCUUUCUCCAUUCGUUGACAAAUAGCCCCAGGAGAACAGAGUCGUUUCUUCUUUUGAGUUUUUCUGCUACCUUGGCUUACCCUCCACCUACUCCAGAGGGGUCCUCAGGGGACCUGCAGGCUACGCUUGGGUGUUCAUUUAGUUUGCUUUGGUGUUAUCUUGAGUGGAGAGGAAAGGCUGGAGUUCUGACUGGAGCCAUCUGGAGUGCCACAGUCGCUUCUCUCUCCCACCAGCUUUGUCCCAGCCUCAAGAGGAUCCUGGGGCCGUGAAGCAUCUUGACCUCUGUUUCUUUGCAUGGAUCACUGGGGAGAGUCCACUGAGCCUCCUCCCAGCGUCUGCCCGUCCCGCUCUGUGGUGUGCAUGUGCAUGUACACAUACAAAUAGUGAUGCCCUUGCUUUCCUGAUGUGGCAUCUGUCUUGUUUCUUUUCACACAGGUGCAACUAUGUGACAGUCCUCCAAAUGUUUCAUAGUAACCACACCAGGUAGAAACAGCAGGAGUUUAAAGCCGGCUGUGAGUGUGGCCUGAUUUCUGUCUCUGUUGUUCCUUUCCGUUCUCCAUUCCCUCAAAAUAUUUUCUUUCCUCUCUCUCUCCCUCUCUUUCUCCCUCCCCCACUCCUCCCCCUUCCUCUCUCCCUCCUUCUGUCUCCCCCGCCCCCAAGGCACCUUGAAAUCCCUGGAGUAGAAGACGCAGUAGUGUAAUGUACAAGGCCACGUCAGAUUUAAUUUUGCAGCUACUAGCUGUUAAUUAAAAUAAUUCUUAGUGGGGGUUCUGAAUGUCUUGCUCAUAGGUAGAUGUCAUAGCAAUAUGACUAAUCUAAAGCAUGCUAGUCUAGUACCAGGCAGAACAUUUUGGAGGGAAAAGAGAGAGUGCAUCCCUGGGGAGAUAAUUCUGCAGGAGAUGGCAAUUAGUGGGCACACAACUGGUCACUAUUCAGAGGACAAGUGACCGUAGAAGUAUUAGCUCUAGUGAAGACAUCUCUGUCAUACUCCUCCGCCGGUCCCCUCCCCCAAGACUCAAGGAUCGUCACAGAAGUGGACGCAGAAAGAGUGUAGGACCCAGGAGUAAACAUCUGCAGUCAUGACAGGGCCCUUACAGGGGUCAGCUCACAGCAGCUGUGACCGCAUGCUCCAAACCCACACAAGAUCAAGCCAGAGGGAAGAGGGACUCAUGAGGUUCCACAGUCAGCGAGGAGCUGUUGCCAAUUGGUGGCUGCUAGAGAAGGGAGAAUCAGUUUUUCUCAGGGCAGAGGUGACAGAGAGGCUCCCUAGACUCCAAUACAUACGCAUGUCACAGCAGCAAGCAGACCCCUUGGGUUAAAAGGCAGAGCUCAUGCUGUUGAAAUGGAAGAGUGGUGGGAGACAGGGGAGAGACUGGAGGGGAGACGGGAAAGGCUUGCGGAUGGAUUUGAGCAAUGUAUCUGUAUGAAAUUCCCAAACAAUAAAAAAGAAACUAGGUAGAUUAAAAUAAUUUGCUUUUUGCUAAUUUGAACGCAAGUCUUUACUAGAGGCAGGUAACAUGAGAGGAGAAAGGCCUGGCUUAUGAACACAAGAAAAGGACCUAUUGGGUGUCAAGCAUUUCACUUAUGACCUGUCACUUGUGAAAAUCUUAGAUGUGUCUUUACCGCAUGUGUAAGAAGAGUUGGAGACGAAGCUGGGUGACAACAUUCUUCAUACUGCAGCGACGCAGGGGUGGAAGGCAAUGAAGCUUAUUUGAGGCCCUGGGGUCUCUAGCUGAUUGCAUGGCCUUCUGGUCACAUCCAGUACAGAAAGGGGUUAGCCCGUGAAGAAGAGACUGCUUCAGUGAAAAGAGAAAAGUAAUGAGCACUUUAGAAAGAGAAACGUAGUGAUGCCUAUGAAUUUUCUUCCUGGUUGGGCUUUUUGAUCCCGUGUUCUGUAUGACAGUUUAGUAUGGUAGAUGAGAGGGGGUGGGGACAGGAAGAAAGAAAAGAUACCGUAUGCCCAACCCCCAUUCUGUUUGAUAAAAGGUGCCUCCUUGGCACCUGACAGACAUACACAGGCUCUGAAACAGUCCUGGGAGUCUGUUGUAAUGGAAUACUGCUUGCUUGGCUCUGGCAAGAAGCCCACUGGACAUAAGGCUGCACUGGAGUCAUGGGCCUAAGGGCUUAGCUGCUUAAAAGUGGCCAAGGCUCCUGAAUCCCCAUGCUGUAUUACUAGAAUGUUCUGCAGCUCCAACACCUCUCAAGCCUGGUUUCCUGCUACUCGUAUGUAUUGCUCAGAUAAGGCAUGGGUGGGCUCACUCCCACCGUCUGCCCACUACCUGACAUUCACUUGGGAGCUGUAGGUCUUCCCAGAGGCAUGCCAACCUUCUGUGAGAGAUUUCAGUUAUGUGUCUCCUUUGUUUCUAGAAGGAACCGUUUUCCCCAGCUGGAGAGCCUGCUGUAUUCCUUCAUGUUUUGAAAACAAACUGCAGUGGGCGAUUCUGGCUCUGUGACGAUUGGAUGGCUCUGUGCUCUGCACAACAAUCUUCCCUUUGUAUUAAACGUCUGAAAACAGGAGUUCCAAAGCACAUUUCCAUAUUCCCUGUUGACAUGAUUUCUUAUUUUACUUUUUUUAUUUGGGGACAAGAGUUUGGUUUUUGCUUUUCUAUUGAUUUCAGAUGUACCCUCUUUGAUGACUGAGAAACUGUUGACCCAUAGCCUUAGACUGUCCUUGUGCAAUUGGGAGUGACCGUUUCCCUUCUCUCUGGGAACGUCUUGUUGGACUCCUUAGGCUGCAGUGAGUGGCUCCCAUCACAGUGGGACGGCCAGCGGCUCAGCGCUGAGGUACCCAAUCUACUUGCCUGACCCUGAGCUGUGUAGCUGAACUGGCCACAAAGGGACAAGAUGAGGAGAUAGACCAAAACAGCCACAUACCACCUCCUUUCUAGAGAGGCAGAGGGGCUGCGCCAGAGCUCCGAGAAGACCUAAUUUGGUCAGAGAGUAAGAGAUGACCGUGGUGGAGACUGGAAUCCUAACCCUCCACUGAGUUCCAUACUGUGCUUCUUUAAUUUGUUAGCAGUCACGUCUUCACAUCCUGGAGAGGGAGGAAGGUCAGCUACACAGUGACAACUAUUUGUGAGCAAAUACCCUUUUAUGCCAAAAUACCAUUUCCUAUUUUGUUUUUACUUUUACUUAGGCUUUGAUUACAAGGAAAACAAGUGGAUGUACUCUCAUGUCUAGCAAACCCAUUAUUAUAAAAAUCCAAUUCAGUAUGACAAACUAGGACAUUUUUUAUUUUUCAGAAAACUCACAUAAGCCUUUCCUUCGAUAGUAUAGAUAGUACAAUGCAAUAUUAUAUCAUAUAGCAUAAUAAAUAUAAUUUAUACUCCGAGACAAUUUUUGUGAAAUUCAAAGCUAUUUCUUUUCCUUAUUCAUUUGUCAAACAAACCCUGGCCAAGUUGCUGUGAGUAGCACAGCUGCCCCGCCCAGCUCUCCUUCAGCCAAUGAGAAGGCGGCAAGCCAUCAGUCGGUGCUAACUACUCCUUGCGCCUUAUUCCUUUGGCAGAGGUUUGUGUUGGGUUUUAGCCGUGCCCAGAAUCACUCGUCUUUUCCAGAUGUGAGCACUUAGGCUAAUGUCUCUCUGGGCAGAUGGAAUACUUACUCUGUCUCCCAUUCCUGGGCGUCAGGCUCUUGACAUCCCUGGUCCUGGACUUAGGAAGCUCGCGACUUAGCAAGAGUCUCAGUGAGCUCUGGGCAUGGGAUGGGUUGGAUUAUUUUCCCAGUGGAAGAGCAGUCUAUGCUUCCAGUCUGUUUAACUUGCCUUUGCACACUGCAACUGGAAAAUCCCUCUCUGAGCAGACAAGCUCCUGUGACCAUGGGAAGUGCUGGCCCUGAGCACCCGACAAUGCCCAUUUGAGCCAGAGAAACCUGGACGCUGUGAACCCACUGAGCCUCCCUUGGGGUCUGAUUUCCCCGCUUUCCUUUUCUAAGUAAAGUGACUUGCAGCACAAAGUGGCUUUACCUGUUAUGGGCCGUUCUUGUUGGAGGAUCUUUUCUGUCUGGGUUUGUUCCCUUUCCCCUGACCCUGUAGUGUUUGCUUCUGUUUGCAACUUCAUUUCUUGCUUAGGAAUCGUGUUUCUCAUUUCUCUUACUUCAUGAUCUCCCACUGUUUGCUAGAAGGUAUAGGCAUUUUGGAUUAAAUUACUGGUUUCUUAUACAGAGUUCUCACUCUUUAUAAGCCCAGCUCCUGACCAGGUGAGUUCUGUUCUGUUCCUCGGGACUAAGGGACUGUCCUGCCCCAGCUGUCUGUUACUGAUCUCUGCUGGCUUCCAGCCCUGCUUAUCAAGGUGACUCAAACAGUCAUCCCCUGACCACUGUGCUCUACUGAGUCAGACAGCUUAUAGACUAAUAGCUACUCAAAUCUCUUCGGGUAAAAUAAUGCCUUAAAGUCUUAAAUUAUAGCCUCAAACAAUUUACAUAAUAAAUCGAGAGUUUGGGGACUCCAAGGAGUAUUAGCAUGUUUUGGGUUUUGUUGCUAGGGAACUUGGCCUUGGAACUUCAAUUGAUCUCUCUCUCUCUCUCUCUCUCUCUCUCUCUCUCUCUCUCUCUCUCUCAAAACAAAUGAGUGCCUUCAUGUUUGGGACCAUAGGGAAAGGCUUAGUAGGUUUAUCCAGUGGACAAAUAACUGAACAUAUUUUGUGUUGAUGUUGACCACAGACAAACAGCAGAUGAGCAGUAGCUAGGCAUGUCCAAGGCAUAACUAAUGCAUCACGUUCCUGGAUCAUCUGAGUUCAAAGGUUUGGUCUUCAUCAAAAUGCUCCAAGGUGAUGUUUUUGAAAGAGAGAAGGGUGGAGGAGGCCAGCUGUGGAGAUGGGUAGCAGACAAUUACCUAGCAGGUGUGUGUACCGAAUAUAGCUUCAACUGGGUCCAUGAUCUCUCCUGUGUGAGAGACUAGUUGGAAAAGUUCUAGUAAAGCUCACACAAUAAAAACAGAGUCGAUUAAUUCUUUCUGUUCUGUAGAGCUUCAUGCAGAGAGUGGGGUUCUGAGCUGUGACUCUCUUUGUUGGUGGCAUAAUUGCCCCUGGCCUUAGAUAGUUUUUUGCCAGAGUGGCCUUGUCCCUUCAGUGUGAAGUAGAAGACUCUGGCUGAGCUUAAGACUGGCUGAUGGCUAGCUCUGAUGGCUAGCUCGAAGGGAUUGCUUGGGGAAACCUGAGGCCAGGAUGCAAAUAAAGGCAAACAGUUUCCCCUUAGGUAAGAUAGCUUUGUUCUGUUUCCUGUGUGACCCCUGUUAGGCAUUUCAUUCAGGUUUCAUCCACCUGGCAAUGGUCAGUGCCAGGCACCCCAGCUUCCCCAGGGCUGUGUGUAAACAGUCCUCAGCACAACCUUUUCUGCAUGUGACCUGUCUCCGGGCAGCUGAUUCUUCUGGUCACACUAGGGACCAUAUCAGUCUUCCCUGUGCUAACGCUGCCCACAGAGGGCUGUGCAGACAUCUAUGGGAGGUGACAACAUUUUUCCACAACCUCCUGAGUGGCUGGGUUCAAUGUGAGCAUUCUUCUUAGAGGCACAAUGACAGCUAGGAGAGUCACAUCCUCUUCUACUGCACAAUGAAGACCCUUCACCACGGCCAUGGGUGGCCACUUAGAAUCUCUUUUUGUGGAAUGGAUAAACAUGAGUAGACGUUUGUGAGAAAGCAUUGUAGUGAAGUUUUCUGAAAAUGGAUGGUUAAGUGAUUGCAAUUGUGGCCGGACUGUGUUUUCCAUUUUUAAUCUACUGAAGGAAUUCAUGGAUGAGUCCUCUGCCUUUCUGUGUUCAUUAUGGUCAAUUCUUAAUCAUCAAAGUCAGUACAGAAAACCACUCACUCACAAGACAAACCUAGGAAUGGCCCCAAGAUCAUUUGUAUUUGAUUUUGAGUUGGAACCAGGAGGCGUGUAACAUCCAUGUACUCAAACAUUAGCUGGCUGCGAGGUCCGGUCAAUGCUACCCAUCUUCUCUGCUUUCUCGGGGAAGACAGGGAGAGAGUGUGUGGAACUGAUACAUAUCUGGUACAGGAGCCGGCACAGCUGGGGACCGGGGUAGCAAAUGGAAGAAGUGUCAAUCCUCACAGUAUAAUUAGGCAUGGAGGAGAUCAGUAUCCUUCUGAAAAAUCACAGGAAGAUUUUAUGGAUGCUUUACAAAACAUUGAAUAACGCCUAUGCGUGAUUAAAACAACAACCUCAAAGACUUCAUAAAAAAAUAACUGGCCUGUGUCACCUGGCUGGCUUCUCUCUUAAGCCUACUUCCCUCAGAUAGCCUUUACAUUGCUAUACCUAGUUAGAGUCCUUUGGGUGAGUGCCUUCAUCUCUGUAAUGUCAGAAGUCUACCUUUCACACUCAUCUCCCGGGGCUGCUAAGUACCAAACACGGGGUGCACAGCACAGACCAGCAGGUUCCAUGGUCUCCUGGUCUCCUGGCUGGCAGUCCAGGGUCAAGAAGGAGCAAGGUCACGUUUGCUGCUCUUCCAGCUCCUGCUGGAGACCACUCAUCCUUGACAUUCCAAUUGUUGGCCAUGUGAGCAUGUGCGCACAAGUGCAUGCGUGCGUGUAUGCGUGUGUGUGUGUGUGUGUGUGUGUGUGUGUGUGUGUGUGUGUGUGCAGGCCAGAGGUCAAGGUCAGCUGUCUCCCUCAAUUGUUCUUCACCUUAAUUUUGAGACAGAGUCUCUUACUAACCUGGACCUCAAUGUUUGGCUCGAGGAGCUGCACAGCCUUGGGGACCUCUUGUCUUCCACCUCCCAAGCACUAGAGUUACAAGUGAAUACCAUUAUCCCCAGUCUUUUACAGGAGUGCUGGGGACAAGAACUCAGGGCUUCACACACUUGCAUGGCAAACACUUUACCAAGGGAUCCAUAUCCCCAGCCCUGUGUCUCAGUCUUGAAAUCUUUCUUCUUCCUGGAAGGACUCAGUUCUACUAAAUUAGGACAUUGUACUUAAUAUCUGCAAGGACUUUACUUCUGGAUCCAGUCAUGGACUCAGGUAGCAAACACUUGAAUGUGUCUUUCGGGAUUCACCAUGACACCACUGCUAAUCUUCACACAAAACCGUAGCCUGUGUUGUCUUCCAUUUAAGGUAAACGGAAGUUUCUCCCAUGUUCUCCCCCAGCACUGUGUCCCAGGGCUCCCUCUCCUUCACUUCCCUCCAGCCCAAUCCCUGUACCUUCAUUUCAUAUUCCCAUCCCUGUGCAGAGUAUAACCCAUUAAAGACACAUGCGUGUUGGCUUCUGUGUCUCCCGGCCCCACCCCUCCUGUCAGGCAGCCUCACAGUGGAUGACACCGUUAUCUUCCUUACCCGAAUGAUUCCCUGCUUGGUCCUUUGUACUUUCACUGCAGAAUAACUCACUAUUUGUCCAUCGCCGCUGUGGGUAAAAUGAUAGAAUUUGAAAAUCAAUAAGGUUUGUGUUCGUUGUUCGUACGACUGCGAAUGCUAGGUACAUUGGCUCUGCAUGCUGUCUGAGCUGAGUUAAAACACUUUGUACUGUUUGUGAGGUGACAACAUAAUUUCUGUUGGCAUAGCACUUUAGAAUCUUCAUUCGGUUUGAUGUUAGACGUUAGAUGGUGGUGAAGUUUUCUAGCUCUGCAUUUGGAAACAUCGUUGAUUGGUACAUGGAACUCCUCCUGUAUUACAAACUGAAAUGAGACUCUGUCCUCUUACAAAGUGUUUGAUUACACAAGGAAGUAGGCACAGGGAUCUCUGAUCUCUGUUUGCUAGGUUCGAGCAUCAGGUGAUUGAAACAGUAAGAACCAAACUACCAGAUUUCAAAACUCUUUCCUUUAAAAACAUUUGAAGGCAGACACGGAGAUGUGAUUUCUUAUGUUGCUCGAUUGGAAAGUUAUUAUCUACUUCCCUUUUUAAAAAGAGAUUUUAUUUAUUUAUUUUUUGUGACUAUACUGAUUUCAGACACAGCAGAAGAGGGCAUCUGAUCCCAAUACAGGUGGUUCUGAGCCACCAUGUGGUUGCUGGGAAUUGAACUCAGGACCUUUGGAAGAGCAUCUCUCCAGGAGUAAAUAAGAACUACUUAAUAUUGUCACAAAACAAGAAAUGGCUCAUCUUGGAAUAAGUUACAUAAUUUUAAAAUGGAAUGAAUUUAAAUUUAAAAAACAAACAAAACCAAAAAACACCUUCCUUCUUUUGCCAAGUUUUUUCCACUUGCUGUAGACUGGUAGAGUUCAGAAGAUGACCUGUGUGUCCUUGGAACCUCCUUUUUAUUCUGUUAUCCAUACAUAUUCAUGUAUGGGAUUUUAAUAGACGUAGAGAGAGCCAGACAGCUGGGCACUUUCCGGAGUGUGGCGUUCGAUGUGAACCUUAGUUGAGUACAGAGUUGAGUCUGUCACCUUUUCAUGUGUGACACUUCAGUGACUCACACUUUCCUGCGUGUAUUUCUUUUUUCUUUUGCUCCCCCCCCACCCCCCAUAAAGUGAUGCACCUGGGCAUAUCUUAGCAAAGUCGUUUUGUAACUUGAGUUGAGGUGGCUGAUAAAAGGUAGGCUUUCAACCUGUGCACGGUGACAGCAGUUUUAUACACGCUACAAACGGAAGCAACAUGAGUCUACUGAGUGUGCCUGUUCAUUAACCAACCAGUAGGCCAACUCCUUGCCUUAAUGUACAGUUUGGGAUGUUCAUUAAUUAGGGUUGGUCUAUUUCAUUGCCACUUUCAGUUGAACUUAGUUUUUAGAUGACAAUGGUUUUUAAUUGCGACACUUGUGGACCAGAUAGGCAGAAUAUGAAUUUCUUCCUUUUGGAGGGAUUGUCGGGAACCGUCGAUUGGUGCCUGCAGCUGGUGAGGGCUACAGGGGCUCCCACCCAGGCUGGCAAUGGCUCCUCCCAAUUUAUGUUCUGAGCCAUUUCAGGUUUUGUUUGUGCGUUUGAUUUUAAGAGCUGGGUUUGAAUGAAUCAGGUGUGACUUUCUAGUUAGAAACAUUCAAGACUGUGUUCUGUAAGGUAUGGGUAGUGACAGUGUUGGAGCCUCGGAACACAGGCCCGGCCCUGCAAAAGGAGGAAGAGGGGGCUGAGCUGUGAUGUCACUAAGCUCUGUCAUUCUGUCUGAAAUCAUGGUUUAUACUGAGCAGCCUGCUUUGUCAUUACUUCUCAUUGGUGACUGGUUACAUAUUCUACGCAAGGGUCUGUUUAUAAUUCAAGAAGCUGGGGAAAGUGGCCCGGGCUAAGUCAUACUGAUCUCUUCAGUUCUUUGGGGCCUCAGUCAGUAAAGGAGAGAUUGUGGAAUGAACUGCCAGGCACUUCUCUCUGCGUGCUGUCUUCCACAUACCCUUGCUAGGAAUAAGCUUGUAAACCCACUUCGGUCCUUUAGGUCUGGACCACUGGGCUCUAUCAGAUGUCCAACCCAGGCAUAGGCAGAGCCUGUGUCUGUAACUUUCUUUACACUUCACCUCUCCCCACGUUCCCCAAGAGUUUUGGGAAUCUUUAUGUUCUUUUCAGACCAGUGUUGCAGGGAUCUGGAGCACACGCUACCCAUUGGACUGCCAGGACAGUGCCUGCGACACUCCCUUAAAGAACUAAUCUUGACUUUACUUGAAAUCUAAUACUCGGUGUGACAAACAGCAGCAGGACCUCCCCACUCAGUUCCUUUUCUGUGGUCCAUAGUUUGGAUACAUGUAUUAAUUUAGAACCCAAACAUUUGGACAUCUCACUAACAUGAGACUGUAAAAGCUGACACUGGCCAUCAUAACCCUAUUCAGAGGAGCUUCCUCAGAGGAAGGUGGAUUUCCACUGAAGCGUGUCCUAGUCUUUGUUCAGUCACGUUGUACAUGGCCACUGUUGUAAACCAGAAAAAGCUACCAGGCAGGCAUCCCUUUAUCUCGAAAGCAAACAUUCUCAUUGUUACAAGUUUACUGUACAUCAGAGUUUUCUAUUAAGCCAAGGCUGACACACUCUGACUCCUGAAAAUAAAAUCGGUGGUGGGAAACCUCCAACGAGCUCUCUGUGGGUGGAAAGGAACAGCGACCUUGUGUGUAAUUCAGGCACAUGGGACACAGGUGGGGACUGAUCUCGAUAGGAGAAACUUGGCAGAAAAGGGAGGGACAACAGUUUUUGGAAUUUGAAGUUUUUCUCCUUGGUUAGUUCCUCAUAGCCACAAGUAUGCGAAUUCUUACUGUCUGGCCCACAGUUUAUUGAGAACCAUUUUCUAAUAUGCCGGGAAAUCCCAAAUUAAAAAAAAAAAUCUGUUUCCUAACAACAGACAAGUGUUUUUUUAACUCUAGCAAUUAUAUCAUUCAUAUCUAGAUUCUAAAAGAAAUUAGAAAGUCUCAAAAGUCCAUCGCAGUUUGCCGCUGCUGCCAAAGGCUUAAGACGGAGAGAUUUUGGCCUGAUGUUUGGAAAGGGAUUCGAACCUACUUGCAAAGACUCUCUGGUGCCUAGGCUGCUCUAAGGAUGUGAGGUAGUGUCAAGAGCACAGACAACAUGAAUUCUUUUCUGAGUGUUGCAACGUGUCCUUGUGGAAUGAUGGAGCUUUUGGAUAAACUUUAUAGGCCAGCAGGUUAAUAGAAAGAAAAAACAAGAGGUCCUUGAAAUUACCAUUAUACACAGGGAGCCAAAUGUGGUUUUGAUCACAGUGAUAUGUACCCCCCCUCCCAUGUAGACUUUGGUUAACUACCCUCUCUUAAACGUUGGGUUGACAUUUACUGUGUGAUUAUUUUUAAGAGCCUUUUGAGGUCUGACCUUCUUAGAAUCUGUGAUGUUAUGAAGUCACAAGUUAAAGGACAGGAGACCAAUGAGCAGACUGAAUGGGCAGUGUCCACAGUGACACAGAGGAAAAAUCGACUGGACUUAGCAUUUAGUAAGGUAAUUAGACGUGAAAGAGAAACGGCUCUAACUCACAGUGCUGAGUAUGCCCAUUAUAACAGUAGCUCCUUGGGACACUUGCAGGCAUCCAUUGCUGAAGAUUUUGGAAAACCUCUUGGGAAAGGCUGAUUUGACAGGGUUCUCGGCUGCAUCUCCAAGUCCUUGACAGACUUGUGUACAGUGAUUGUGAAAUGAGUGUGGUGAUAGUAUAAGACAUUUCUGAAGUGCCUGACACCAUGGAGUGAGAAGUAUUUUGUCCCCAACUAGCAUCUUGAUGUACCCGAAAGUGGGCCAGACAGUAAGAAUUCGCAUACUUGUGGCUAUGAGGAACUAACCAUGGGAAAUAGUGCAAAAUUCUGCCCUGCUGCUAUAGCGAGGUAGGACAUGGAUGUCACUUGAGUCAACUCAAAUGACCAUGCUGAGCUUCAGUCACACACAGGAUCUGGAGGAGGCCCACGAUGACUAAGAAACUAAUUUGGGAACUCCCAAGCAAGGGUUUCACUGCCUAUGUGACUAGGGCCUGGGAUACGCUGUGGGAGACAGCGUCCUACCAGAUUAUUGAUUCAGCACCGGUUUGGGGAGGAUCCAUAGUAUAUAUACCAUCGAUACAUUUAUUCUUGUUCAGCUUCCAUUCAUUCGGGGAAGCCCCAGAGCGAAGAGAAGUGUGCAGUAUCCACUGCGGGUGCUUUGUUGAACUAUUUCUACAUUUCUUGGAGCCCACAGUCAUCUGACCACCCCUUCUGCACUUGAAGUCAGAAUCAAACACAAUGGGAGGAACCUGGAAGUUAAACUUGAUACACAGGCAUCCUUCUUUGUUAUGAGGGACGUGGCCUCUGGUUGUUGGUUGAAAGUGAUCUUCAUGUUUACUUCUCGUUGAUGACAUAGGCUAGCGGGCUGUGGCCGAUUUCUUUGGGAAAGAACACUUCCGUUCAGUGGUCAGGUUGGUGGAUUUUUCU